CCAUCGGCGCUGCACACGACC
rnacentral:misc_RNA from 1 species